UGGCUUCUAUAUUUCUUUAGUGUUACAAGAAAGAAAAAGUAUUGCCUCGCACUUCAGACACCAGUUUGGUUUCUCCUUUUAGCUGCAGUGAGGUCACACUCCUGCAUUUGUGACAUAGCAGCGGGUUGUCAUGGAGAUGAUAGCUUUAUCAGCAACUCUGCUGUGCAAUGACUUCACAGCAAGGUUACCAAGAAGCAGAUGGGCUGUGAAGGAGACAAACCCUUCUGUCUAAACACAAAUAGCAUUGAUAAUUAAUUAGCUGAAGCAGCAGGGGAAAUUAUGAAAAUGUGUGAAAGAAAUGACUAAUUUCCCAAGCCUGCAAAGAAAGAACAUGAAACAAACAACAAAUUUCAAAGAUGAAGCUAAAAACACUCCAGAAUCAGAAAGGACAUGUUCAGUCUGAGCCAACCGUCACAUCUUUAACCCUUCCAUCUGUUGAUGUACAUUAGAAAAAGGAAGAGAAAAAAAAAAACAAAACUACAUCCAGCCUGUUAGCUGGACAGCUGUGAGGCACGUAAAGCCUUCAUACUCCAGAUUUGGUCUACUCACCAGCAGCAUCUCCAUCGCCUGAGAGUUUUAUUAGAAAUGCACAACGUCAAGCCCUACUCCAGACACACCGAAUUAGAACCUGCAUUUUAACAAGAUCCCCAGUGACUCAUAUACGAACAAAAGACUGAGAGGCACAGGCCUAGAAGAUGUCUCCUCCCAUUGACAAAGGGCAAAGAAAGGAGUUGUCUCAGAACAUGGAGUAAAAAAUACUCUCCUGUGGUGAUAGAGAGAAAAAGUGUGGAGGGCAAAGAGGGGAGCCUGUGUAUAUGUGUGUGUAUGUGUGAGAGAGAUAGAGAGAUGAAAUGAGGUAACAAGAUUUACCUGCCAACCAGCCCUGCCUAAAACUUUUCAGCACACUCUGGAUCUCAGCUGCUAGUACUUACUCUUAUUUGACUACUAGGCAUAUCUAGUUUCUAUAUCCCGCCUGAGAUGUUCACAAAAUGUCAUAAGCAGCAGGAAGAUAACCUGAAUUUUUGUCCUUUAUCCAAGCACUAGGUCUGACAGAGGUAGUCUUCCUGACAUUGCCCUCACUGGCCCAGAGUAAGAAAGCUCACUAAAUGUUCUGACGAUUAUUUGAAGCAUGAUUUCAGCCAUGCUAUUCUACCAAAAGCAGCAUGGAUCUCUCUCUUGAUCAUUUGGCAUUCUUCAUAUUACAUCAUCACACAUAAAAUUGUUGAUUCUCGGGUUAGAAGGAACCAUUUUUAAAAGUACAAUUUCUUACCUGAUACUGGAAUCCUUGCCAUAAUAUAGCUAGUCAUUGCCAAGCUACACUUGGAAAAAAUAGACGAAAGAAAACUCAAAAUUCAUGCUCAUACGCUAUUGAGCAUUUAGUGACAUUGCAGCUACCUUAUUUGAGAAGGCAGCAUUCCACUGAUAACAUAUAUCACCCUCUAAGUAUGGCAUGCUCCUCUUAAAAACAGUUAAGCUUCAGAGCAGUAGUGCAGGAAGGAAAAAAGUCCCUUCAUAAAUAAAUCCUUUUGCCUAAAUGAAAGAAUAUACAGUACUCAUAAAAAUGGUGAUUAGAGCCCAGCAUGAGAAAGAUACCCUCAUAAUAACACUAAUAAUAUUAGCAAUAAAAAUACCCUCUGAGAUUUGCUAUUCCAGAGAAAAUAUUUGCUAUUAUUGUUAUUAUUAUUAUAUUACUGCUAAUAAUAAUAAUGGGUUACUUGCUAAGAGAUUGAGCCUUUGCUGUAACUAAGUAAGCAUACUUAGAAAAUGCUCCCCUGAAGACAUUUCUUCAAUUAAUAAAGAAGACUGACAGAUCUUCUAAAACCAUGCUUGGAUUUCCCCUAAUUACAUGAGGAUUCCAAACCUUUGUUCCUGAUGGAAAAUCAAACUGUGGGAACUGGAGUCAUAUUUGAAAAUGAAAAAUAAGCAAAUCCUGCUCCACUGUGAGUGGGAGCUGGUCCAGCAGAUUUGCAAUCAGUCCUCAUCUCAGGACUUCAGUCAGGUUUGUGAACACUACCACAGCUGUGCAAAUCUUGGGGUAGAGAAAGAAGGACUAAGCACUUUCUGUUUGCCUCCUGUGGCUUUUGUUUCAUUUAGGUUCCUACCCUAUAAGCUUCACUUCGCAACGCCAAGGGUAGGGAAAAGACAUUCAAAGUGGAAUUUGCUCAGAACCACAGCAUUUCUCCUCAUUUUUAGGUCACAACUGAAAUUGGGUUUUAAUGUGAAAUUUGCCUUAGGCUCAGCAGAUGGUUCUCAAAAAUCACAAGCAACAGUUUGCCUUCUGUACACUGAUGUGGCUAUAACUAAGUAUAAAAUUUCAAGGGGACACAUGUUGUGUCCUAACCUGCCCUUUCUCUCUGUCUCUUGUCCCCCUCAUUUUUUUUUCUAUUUAUAUUAUUUGGUGCUGCAACAUACUUCUCUGCGUUCAGCCCAUACCAAUCAUACGUGAUUAUGACAGGUGAGUGUGGCUGGAAGAAAAGAGGGAAACAUCUAUGCUAUACUUAGUGGGCUCAGAUCGUAUGCUGAUUUUUCUCUUUCUUUAAAAAUAAAUUUCCUUUAAAAUUUGGGGUGAAAAGGUAAGUAAACUGUAUAGUGGAUUUAUUUACUUGAGUGACGUUCCUGAUAAUUCUCAUCUUUAAAUCUUCUGUAGCUGUGCUCCCAACAUUUCUGGACAUCAAUAUUAAUGUUCUGGGCUCCUGGCAGUAGCUAGUAGAGGUGGCAUUUCAUAAUUCAGAUGUAAAAAUUAAAAGCCAAGUGCUAGAGGGGAUAUACAGUAGCAGAGUACAUCCAUCCAACUGCGGAUUGAAAGCCCUUCAGAAAGUCAGCCUUUCCCAGCCCUCCCUUAGCAAGGAAAUGCAACAUUACCAGGUAAAUAAUGGUGGCCCCCAAAUUCACUCUCCUUCCUUAUUUGAAAAAAAAAAAGUAACUAAAAAGGGCAUAGUAAGUUUCCAGAAAUAUUUCAGAGCUGUAAUGACUCAAACUCUGAGAAUCUUCAAUCAGAUCUUCAAUCAUUACACAUGGGGAUAGGGCUUUGACAAAUUCUACCUGAAAACAAAGUUUGACUAACAGAUGUAUGAGAUUGUGUGCUUUAGGCAGCAGGGAGUUAACUUCACCAGAUAGUCCAGCAGUUUGCCUCUGAUUCCCAUUGGUAGAUAACUCCACGGAGAAAAAGUCUCACAAUCCCCCUCACUCGUCAUCUGUGCUAAGGUCUUAAAGCUUUUGUGAAAAAUCUGUCCGUUAAUGUUAUAUGUUGUAGGGAA
rnacentral:lncRNA from 1 species